AGGAGCAGAAAGAAUUGGCUUGAUGUAUGAGUAUUGUUUUGCAUUGUGGCAGUAGCAUGAAGCAGGGUAUGUCAGUUGAAUUUAGUGGGAAUGGGAUUCAGAUUUUGAUCUUUGAAAAUUGAAGCCUCAGAAGAAUUAGUCAACAAAGCUGACAUGUUGUUGUUUGUUUUUUGUUGUGUCAUUCCAAAAUUUGUUUUGUUGGUUUCGACCAGAUUGAGACACAAUCAGCUAUAAAUUUCAACAUUGAACAUGUAGAGCAAGUAGUAAGG
rnacentral:misc_RNA from 1 species